rnacentral:rRNA from 1 species
CAGUAGCCGCGGUAACACGUAGGUGGCAAGCGUUGUCCGGAAUUAUUGGGCGUAAAGGGCUCGCAGGCGGUUUCUUAAGUCUGAUGUGAAAGCCCCCGGCUCAACCGGGGAGGGUCAUUGGAAACUGGGAAACUUGAGUGCAGAAGAGGAGAGUGGAAUUCCACGUGUAGCGGUGAAAUGCGUAGAGAUGUGGAGGAACACCAGUGGCGAAGGCGACUCUCUGGUCUGUAACUGACGCUGAGGAGCGAAAGCGUGGGGAGCGAACAGGAUUAGAUACCCCCGUAGUCCCUGUCUCUUAUAU